rnacentral:rRNA from 1 species
UAGCUAGCAUGCCGUGUCAGUUUAAUUUAACCUGGUGAAACUGCGAAUGGCUCAUUACAACAGCAAUCGUAUCCAUGCGUGUUUGUGCUACUCGGAUACCUGUAGCAAUUCUAGAGCUAAUACGUGCCAACGGCGGGGCCUUACGGCGUCGCAGGGCUUAUUCGGUUCAAAAGCUGGCGCAUUGUCGGUGAUUCAGGAUAAUUUGGAGCGGGGCGAACCCGCGAGACCCGGACCUCACGCUCUCGCAGCGGAGGCGACGCAUUCUAGUUUCUGCCCUAUCAAGUAGUUGCGAAGGUCUUGUCUUCGCAAGCUUAUGACGGGUAACGGAAAAUUAGGGUUUGACUCCGGAGAGGGGGCUUGAGAAUUGGCCACCACAUCUAAGGAAGGCAGCAGGCGCGCAAAUUCCCCAAUCCGGACAUCGGGAGGGAGUGACAAGAAAUAUUGAAGGCGGGGCGCAAGCCUUGCUUAUCGGAAUGAGAACAACUUAAUGAACUUAUCGAGUAACAAUU